rnacentral:lncRNA from 1 species
AUGUUUCAGCAUGUCUGGUAUUUUGACAUUCCAUGGAGAAAUCUGAUCCAGGUUGUUGCCUUUCAGACCAAUGCAUUGGAUGAUAACUGGUACAUCGUCAAGGGACAGAAGUGUCAACAGAAACCAUGGAUAUUGUUUGUAGACUAUGGCAUCACAAGAUGAAAAAAAUAUGGAUCCCUGUGUCACUAAUUGGAAGAGAGUGAUCAAGAGAGCUAUGAACAAUACAUAUAUAUUUUAUUAAGCUCCUGAGAUUUGGGGAUUGUUGGCUACAACAGUCAUACUUACACAUUUUCCCAUAUCCUAUUCUUUACCAAACCAUCAGAAUGAACCUAUUAAAACCAAGGUAAAAUUACAUCACUCUUUCGUUCACUUACUUUAUUCAAUCACAUAGGCCUUCAAUCUGUUCCUGGAGUGUACCAACUACUACUUCACUUCAGGCCUUUUACAUGCUCUUUCCUAUCCCUGGAGGGAUCUAUCCCUAGUUCUUUGUAGGCCUGCUCCCUUAUCUCCUUGAUCAUUCUCUUUGUGAGGCUUUCCUAGACCUACUUACUUAAAAUGGACUCUUUCAAUCUAAUAUAUUGCCCUUCCCAUUUGAAUUUUCUUGAGAAUGUGUAUCUCACACAUUCAGUAUUUUAUGUUUUAUCUCUUUGAAUCCCAGUACCAAGAAAUAUGUCUAGACCAUUGUAGGAAUUCAGUAAGUAUUUGUUAAAUUAUGAAUGGAUUAAGAAUAUGUGGCAUAUAUACACAAUGGAAUACUACUCAGCCAUUAAAUGAACAAUAACAAAAUAAUGCCAUUUGUAGCAACAUGGAUGGAACUAGAGACUCUCAUACUAAGUGAAAUAAGUCAGAAAGAGAAAGAUGAAUACCAUAUGAUAUCACUUCUAUCUG